GACGAACGCUGGCGGCGUGCUUAACACAUGCAAGUCGAACGAUGAAGAAGAGAAACGCGAACUUCGGUUCAACUUUCACUUCGGAUUAGUGGCAGACGGGAGAGUAACGCGUGAGCAACCUACCUCUUACAAAGGGAUAGCCUAGGGAAACCGUGAUAAAUACCAUAUGACACAUUCAUAAGGCAUCUUAAGAAUGUUAAAGCUACGGCGGUAAGGGAUGGGCUCGCGUCCCAUUAGCUAGUUGGUGAGGUAACGGCACACCAAGGCGACGAUGGGUAACCGGGCUGUGAGGCUGAACCGUCACACUUGAACUGCGCCACGGUCCAAACUCCUACGGGAUGCAGCAGUGGGUAAUAUAGCACCAUGGAGUGAACUCUGAUGCAGCUACGCCGCGUGAGCGAUGAAGUCAGUCGUUUCGUAAAGCUCUGUUCUAUGGGAAGAAAAGGACUGUACCAUAGGAGAAAGCCCCGGCUAAAUACGUG
rnacentral:rRNA from 1 species